AAAAAAUAAUUUUCAGACGGUCUUGGACUCACCACACCUACUAUACAAGGACCCACUUCACCUAAGAUUCUCUCACAAGGACCCUAAAGGAGUUUAGAAGCCAAAUGACUGGGAUCAUCAACUCCAGUGACAGAGCUGCAUGUCUUUGUAGCAGUGUUGCAGAAAUGAGCAUGAAGAGGGAACAGGAAAGGGGAGAGAGGUCUCUUUGUGGCAACAAUGAGUGACUCUUCUCUAGUUAUCUCCUGGUUGCUGGGUUUUCCCUCCUGCACUUUCUUUUGCAGUUGAAAGGAAGACGAUUGUUUGAAAAUUAUUAAUAAAUCCUCCUUUUUUUUCUUCUUCUCUUUUUCACCCUCCCUCCCACCCCCCUUGAUGUGGCCUCUUGUUUAGCUUGUGGCGUGACCAUGAUGAAGAAAUUUUUCUGGGAGCCUGGCAGUGUGAUCUUUUUAUGUAAUGAGUCAGGAUUUUGCCAAGGGAAGGAGCAAGGUUUGAGGAUUGAGUGGCUGUCUCCUUUCAAGAAGAAAACUGACAGGCGAGAUGCACCUUUUUCCCAGGAUCCUUUUUUCCCCUCCCCACCUCACAGGAAUGACAAGUGGCAUUUUUGAAAAUUUUUGCUGGAGGAUCUUAACCAAAGAAAAAAGUACUGUAAAGCCUGUGCUUGGUGGACCUCCAAUAGUUUCUUGGAAAAUACUUUGAGAAGUGAGGACUAGAGAGCAUCGUAAAGUUCAGAAGAAAAGUUAGUCUACUAGAAAAUCUUGAUCUUAUAAAGUGGGAAAUAAGAACAAAAUGUAGUGAAGCUCUCCAAAAAGCAUUAGGAACCAACUCUUUUCUGAUAAAAUUUAGCAGUAAUUUCUCUCCAGACAGUGAAAUCCAACUUUUAUUUAAAAGCUCUGAGAAUUGAAAUAUUUAUCUUUAUAAUGCUAAAUGCAUUCAGUAAAAUGUUUCCAUUCUUAUGCAUAACGUUUUGUUACCCAGCUAUAUUUUUGCAAUUUUUAAGAUAGGUUUUAAUUUAGUUUUUUAUUGAUAGUACACAGAUUCCAUGCAUAAUCUUCCUAGCAGCAUUCAGCUAAAUAUAAAAUAAGCAGAGUGUUUUAAAUGAAUAUACUUAAAUUCUAAAAUGUCAACAAGCAUAAAGAUAUGAGUCUAACCCUGAAGGCCUUCCUCAUCCAAAACUCCCAUUGACUUAAUUUUUCCAUUAGUAAGGACUACAGGUGCAGACGUUGUCUGUUUCCAAUGUAUAUUAAAAUGAUAGAUUCAGAUGUCAAACAAAUAUACUAAACACUAAAUCGCUAUUUUAAUUAAGUUUGUAACCCAAACCAGUGAGGCGCAGGUAAUACAGUGAUGGAUACCAUGAAAUGCUUGUAAUAAAAAUUAAAUUGAAGCUUUGCCCCUUCACUCAUGCUGUAAUGCCUUUUUAUCCUAUAAGGCACAAGUGAAGGAUGGAAUGUCAGCCUUCACUUUCACUUUCCUAGGACUUAUUUUGUGUUCUGAGGGCCAAUUUCUUUAUUUUGCUGUUUAAAAUGAGAAAAUGUAUUUUAUGGAAGAUAAUAAAACACUUAUAUGCUUAAAAUGAUUGUUUGCAAUAAAAAAUAAUCUAUUUAAAAUCAAAGCUGUUUUGAAUUAUUAAAGUUAAAAAAAUUCAUCACC